UACGGAGGGUGCAAGCGUUGCUCGGAAUCACUGGGCGUAAAGGGCGUGUAGGCGGCCUCGUAUGUCUGACGUGAAAGCCCCGGGCUCAACCCGGGAAGUGCGUUGGAAACUGCGAGACUAGAGUCUCGGAGAGGAAGGUGGAAUUCCAGGUGUAGCGGUGAAAUGCGUAGAUAUCUGGAAGAACACCGGUGGCGAAGGCGGCCUUCUGGACGAUGACUGACGCUGAGACGCGAAAGCGUGGGGAGCGAACAGG
rnacentral:rRNA from 1 species